GACGAACGCUGGCGGCGUGCUUAACACAUGCAAGUCGAACGGAAAGGCCCUGCUUUUGUGGGGUGCUCGAGUGGCGAACGGGUGAGUAACACGUGAGUAACCUGCCCUUGACUUUGGGAUAACUUCAGGAAACUGGGGCUAAUACCGGAUAGGAGCUCCUGCUGCAUGGUGGGGGUUGGAAAGUUUCGGCGGUUGGGGAUGGACUCGCGGCUUAUCAGCUUGUUGGUGGGGUAGUGGCUUACCAAGGCUUUGACGGGUAGCCGGCCUGAGAGGGUGACCGGCCAAAUGGGGACUGGGAUACGGCCCAGCCCCCUACGGGGGGGAGCAGGGGGGAAUAUUGCACAAUGGGCGGAAGCCUGAUGCAGCAACGCCGGGGGCGGGAUGACGGCCUUCGGGUUGUAAACCGCUUUCGCCUGUGACGAAGCGUGAGUGACGGUAAUGGGUAAAGAAGCACCGGCUAACUACGU
rnacentral:rRNA from 1 species